GGGGCGUUAGCUCAGUCGGUAGAGCAGUGGACUUUUAAUCCAUUGGUCGAGAGUUCGAGUCUCUCACGCCCCACCA
rnacentral:tRNA from 1 species